AUUGAACGCUGGCGGCAGGCCUAACACAUGCAAGUCGAACGCCGCGGCGAAAGGGUGAGUAAUGCCUAGGAAUUUGCCUGUUGGUAAGGUAUACCGCACAGAAACGGGCGCUAAUGCCACAUACUCUCAGAUGACUCUAGGUGGGAUUAGCUGGUUGGUGGGGUAAUGGCCUACCAAGGCGACGACUCUCAGCUGGCCUGAGAGGAUGAUCAGUCACACUGGAACUGAGACACGGUCCAGACUCCUACGGGAGGCAGCAGUGGGGAAUAUUCGACAAUGGGCGAAAGCCUGAUCCAGCCAUGCCGCGUGUGUGAAGAAGGUCUUCGGAUUGUAAAGCUCUGUAAGUAGGGAGGCGUUACCAACAGAAAAAGCACCGGCUAACUUCGUGCCAGCAGCCGCGGUAAUAC
rnacentral:rRNA from 1 species